ACUUGGCAAUACGGUUUGCACAGACCCUUUACCAAAACUUUGCUGACCCAUAAUAACGGCUCGUUUAUGGUCUUGAAGUGCGCCGGCAACAAUUUCUGACGCUGAUGCUGAACCGCCGUUUAUUAACACGACAAUUGGCGCACCUUUCAACAAGUCAUCUGGGUUGGCUUUAAACGUCAUCCGAGAGUUUUCAAUUCGCCCUUGUGUAUAGACAAUAAGGCCUGAUGUUAGAAAUGCAUCGCUGACCGAUACAGCCGCAUUUAAUAGCCCACCAGGGUUAUUUCUUA
rnacentral:ncRNA from 1 species